UCUGCAGCUCCUGGCCUGCGCAGCUUCUGGAUCCUUGGUCUUCGCUCCAGCGUGGGCACAGCUGUGCAGGCACAAGGUGUUCAUCAGAGCGUGGCCACCGAUGGCCCAAGCAGCACCCAGCCUGCCCUGCCAAAGGCCAGAGCCGUGGCUCCCAAACCCAGCAGCCGGGGCGAGUAUGUGGUGGCCAAGCUGGAUGACCUCAUCAACUGGGCCCGCCGGAGUUCUCUGUGGCCCAUGACCUUCGGCCUGGCCUGCUGCGCCGUGGAGAUGAUGCACAUGGCCGCACCCCGCUACGACAUGGACCGCUUCGGCGUGGUCUUCCGCGCCAGCCCGCGCCAGUCCGACGUCAUGAUCGUGGCCGGCACACUCACCAACAAGAUGGCCCCAGCGCUUCGCAAGGUAGGCCUCGUCCCCGCCGCCCAGCCGCCCCCAGAGUGAGCUGCGCACGGACCCCGUCUCUCUUCCAGGUCUACGACCAGAUGCCGGAGCCGCGCUACGUGGUCUCCAUGGGGAGCUGCGCCAACGGAGGAGGCUACUACCACUACUCAUACUCGGUGGUGAGGGGCUGCGACCGCAUCGUGCCUGUGGACAUCUACAUCCCAGUCCCUGGGGACUGCGCUCCUCCCUCCCUCCUCGCAGACUGUGCUUCUCCCUCCCUUGGAGCAGCCUGGACUUGCCAGAGCUCUGCCAGGUGGGGCCUGGCCGCCCUUUCCCAGGCCCUGCAGUGGCCUUGUCCUUCCCCACCUGUUUCCACUCCUGCUGUCCCCGUUGGGCCCUGGGCUUCGUCCUCUUGCUCAAGCCCUUUGCUAUGAGCCUGCCUGGCAGCUGGGGCUAGGGGAUCCCCAGCAAAGACCUCUGGCUUGGAGCUCAGAAAGGGGGUCAUCGGGUCCUCGUGGGAUGCCUGGGCUCUGGGCCACCUCCCCUCCCUCCGCCCAGCCUCCCUGCCUCCAUCUCCGUCCAGUGCAGCCCCGGGUCCUGCUCCCCACUGCUAAGUGUGUCUGGUGAGCGCUGGCCCCCAUGGAGUCCUGAGGGCUAGGGCCGGGGCCGGGUUAGUGAGGUCAGCGUCUUGUCCAAGAGGUUCCUGUGACAGCCCGGGAUGAGCCAUGGGUGGAGGGCAGUGGGGCCUUGCCCAGGGGAGGACCCCACUCUUCCUGCAGGGACCUCCCCUGCGCCGGCUCCCAAACCCUGACCUCUGCGCCCACCCAGGGCUGUCAGCCUCCACCUUCAGAGGCCGGCACGGGAGACCCCUCAAAAGCCGAGCCGGCUGCGCUGUGCACGCGGUCAUGCAGGCUCUGGCUGCGAGAAGGGAGACUGAGGCAAGGUCCCUGCAGGCUGCCCACCCACGGCCGAGGCCCUGCUGUACGGCAUCCUGCAGCUGCAGAGGAAGAUCAAGAGGGAGCGGAGGCUGCAGAUCUGGUACCGCAGGUAGCGCCGCCGCCGCCACCUGAGCCUGUCGCCGUCCUGUCCCCAGCCUGCUUGUGUCCCGUGAGGUUGUCAAUAAACCUGCCAUCGGGCUGCUGCCUCCUA
rnacentral:sRNA from 1 species